GCCUGGAUAGCUCAGUCGGUAGAGCACAUCCUUGGUAAGGAUGAGGUCGUGGGUUCAAUUCCCGCUCCAGGCU
rnacentral:tRNA from 1 species